rnacentral:lncRNA from 1 species
GGGGCGGGGAGGGGGCGGGGAGGGGGCGGUGCGGGGAGAAGAGAGGGAGGAAAGUAGAUCUGUAGGACUUGAGUGAGGAAAAAGUUUGCAACUCUGAACAGACUGGAAAGGUGCUCACGAGAGACGGGCUUCGGGGAGGGGAGAAGGGAGGGAAGCACAGCUACUUCUUUUUCUUUUUAUUUUUUCUUCUCCACUCUUAAAAAGCUUCUUUCUCUUCACCCAAGCCGACUGGCACAAUUGGAACAUCCGCUGACCCUCUCUGGCUCAAGCCUUCUCCCAAUAAAUCCUCAAGAUUAUGUCAAUCGGUCAGAGUCAGCCAGGGAUUUCGUGCUGGUGCUGAAGGAGCUGCAGGAGCCGGGGAAGAAUGAAACUGCGUGGAGUCAGCCUGGCUGUCGGCUUGUUCUUACUGGCCCUGAGUGUUUGGGGGCAGCCCGCAGAGGCUGCGGCUUGCUAUGGUUGUCCUCCAGGAUCAAAGUGUGACUGUAGUGGUGUAAAAGGAAAAAAGGUAAGAUCUGAGAUGGUCCUUUCCACACUUAGUAAAAUUAUUAAACUACUGAUUUUUUUUUUGCUUUUUUGUUUUUUAAUUUUUUGGUGCUGAGGACUGAAGCCAGGGCCUCAUGCUUGCUAGAAAUGCGUUGUACCACUGAGUUAAAUCCCCAGCCCCUAAACUGCUGAUUUUACAAACAUUUUAAAAACAGGGAUUCUAUCUCAACAAUUAAGUAUGUAAAAUGAAUUCUACUACAUUGAUUGUUUUA